GUCCCUCAUUGGGAACGGAAGUGCUCGAUGCAAGAUUACAUAUAAAAUUCACUAGCAAGCAAUAUCCCGUAUCUCCCGACUUAAUUAAUAAUUCUGACAGAAUCCUGUUACUCAAAAGAUGCUGAAGUGGUUUGCCACAUGUACAGGGAAUAAUAGUGAAAUUCGGUGAACAAAAUAUGGAUAUCAAGAUGAAAAUUUAUUCCAACUUGACGACAUCGUUUCUGGAACCUAGGCCAUUAUCUGGAUAUAACAAUCUUCUGGGGUCCGAAAUCACGGCCCGUCGGCCCGUUGAUAGUUCAUGCCUUCAUCCACCCUUAUCGGCAUCCUGGAAACUGGAACACAUGAUCGGAAAUUCUGACCUGUUGGAUGAAAUGAUGAGAAUGGACUACAUUUUCCAUUUGCAAUAAUAUCAUAUCUCUCAGGACAACUUGAAAUUAAGUUUUGUUUAAAUACAUCCUCAAUUCAACUAAAAUUAAAAAGUGCUUCAGAUAAACAGAGCAAACCCGAGCAACACUGUGAACAAUAAUACAUCCUCUCCUUCUCAUCCACCCAUCCUACAAGGAGAUGUGUCAACGGAAAACUCAUCCCCGAAAAAUCCAGGGCUUGGGGAUGAGAAAUUCUUUGCUGCUAAAUAUCUUCCAAUUGCUCAUCUAAUCUUAUCUGGAAUUGGUGGUGCAUUAAUACUUAUGUGUCUUCUUCUUGAAAUAGGGUAUAAUAUUGAAGAGAUCUCAUAUUCCCCAUAUUUAUUGAAUGUAGCGCUGUAAUGUGAUCUCGUCAUAUUAUUGGUUGUGGAGAUUUUGUCGGUUAGUUGAGUUUGAGAAGAGAGAGAAGAAAGUUGUUGUUAAAAAGUAUGUGAAAAAGGGAGAACAAAUUAUUAAUUGUUUCUUCAAUUUUAUGUAAAUUAAAAGUGCCUCGUGCAAUAAAUAGAAGUAAAACCCAGUA